GCGGUGAGUGAAGCCCCUGUCUUGUCUGCUGUCCACUGCACUGAAGCCUGGCGCAGCGCCCGGAGGGGCCUGGGCCGUGGCAGGUGCUCAACAGCAGCCAGAACAGUGGCUCCAGAGCACAUCUGGGAUCCCUUUGCCAGUCACAGGCUGGAGAACCUAUUUCUGGGAUCCACAUUCCUGGCCAGCUGGGGCGGGUAUCCAGAAAGGCAGCUUGCCCUAGGCUCUUCCAAUCCCAAGGGUCCUGGUGUUCGGGAGUGUAGGGACGUGGCAGAAAUCUGCAUGUCGCAGCUGGGAAAGGAGAGAAAGUCCAUCCGGCAGUCAGCCUGGGCAGGCCUGAGGUGACUCCGAUGGGCCCUGCUUAAGGGAGGUUCCCUAGUGGUGUUGAGACCCAGACUGAGAACACUGAAUGCUGACACAGGUGUACAGGGCCCUGUGGGGACGGGGAGGGAUGUGUAAUGGCGAGGGAGAUGAAGCGGCGGGGACUAUUUUCUGCACUGAGGGGUUUGCAGGAGAGAGAAACAACAAGACCUUCAGCUGGAGGGAACAGUCGGUAGUUAGCACCAUGGUCUGAGGGUGGGCCAGACGGACUGGAUUAUGAGGCCACCCAGGCCAAGCAGUUUGAAGGCCAAGGGAAUCACUAGAGAGUUUUAAGCCAACUUACUUAAAAAAUGACCAAGUGUCCUGUCCUUUAGGAAGAAAAGUUGGUGGAGAGAUUUAGUCUAAAGAGAGGUGAUAAUAUAGGCCAGAUUGGAGACAGUUCCUGGAGAGUCACACCGAAUCUGGUGAGAGAAAGGGGCAGGGGGACACACAGGGAGAGAAACAGAGCUCCUGGCAUGUGGACUUGAGAGAGUCCAGGAAACACCACUGGGAGGCGACCAGAGCCCGCAGACGCUCCAGAGUUGUGCGGGCAUCUUUGCCAUAGUGUUUCGGAGCCUCAACAGUACUGGCAGUGCUUUGGUGGGGGGCGCUGCCCUGCCCUUACUCCCACCCCCUCCCCACCGCCACCACCCCCCGUUGUCACAGCCAAAAAUGUCUUCACAUCCCUGGGUGGAACAGAGAAGGCCUGAUCUGGCAGGUGAGGUGAAGCCAGGGGAGGGGCUGAGAUGGUUCAGAAUGUGCAGAGCGAGCAAGGGCUAGCUGCAGGCCUAUGAAGUGCCGCUGGAGGAGAAAGAGGGGCCGUAGAGUAAGGCUGUGGCCAUCGGGAGGAAAAGGAGCUCAUCACUCAUCAGUGAGGACAGGACCAGAAAAGGCUCACUGGAUUUGGCGACAGGGAGGUUGCUGGUGCCCAGGGUGGGAGCAGACUCAGAGGUGGGUGGGGUACAGCCAAGGGCCAGCUUGCAGCCAGUUGAGGGGUGGGAGGGGACGAAGCGGACAGGCAGGUGUAGAUUUUUCGGAAGCCUGGCUGAGAAGGGAGGGAAAGGGGGAUAGUUGGCAGGAAGAGCAAAGAGCAUGAGGUUUUGUGCUGGAAAACUCAAUCCUGGUGCUGACCACCUCCACAUUUCCUCCGACUGUGCCCUCUCGGGGUUGCUGGAAAGGUCAGUGAACAUACACGAUGGGCUGGGUGGAUUGUCUAGCAGGCCGCAUUGAACCCAAGAGCCUCUGAUCUCCAGAGUCCCGGGGGGAGGAGGCAUCUUUCUCAGUCUCCCAGGAGCACGGCCACCCCGUCUGCUCUGAAUUCCUAGUCCCCGUGGCAAGAGUGAAGAAAAGAAAAUCCACAGGAGCUAAAAAUAAGCCGAGAACACCACUCCUGGCUCUGACGAACCCAACAGUUGUGAAAAUCCAAGUCUACGUGGCGGGGAGGAAGCCGAUGACACAGACCCCUCAUGACCUAGAAGAGUUCUAGCCUCGUCUGACAGAUGUUUAGUGUUCGAGUGCUUCACUUGCUCACAUCAGCCCGAUUUUGACAUUGGGACGACUCCUGUCCUACAACACAUCUGAGGGGAAGCGAGGUCAGGAAGACGAAACAGGUGAAGAAAUGGGACACACAGGUUCCUGGCCCAGGCCCCACAUCACUAACUCACCACGACCAGCAGGGCGGCUGUAAAGUCCUAGCAUGUCACUGCACACGCACACCUGCGCCCUGAGUUCCGGGCCGUGGCCUCGGAUGCACCUCUCACUUCGGGAAGUCACAUAACCUUUCUGAGCUCUUCUCCCUGUCUGUGUCUUCGGGGUGGUUGGGCUGCCAUCAGCUCUUGAUCCCCCUCGCGCGUGCUGCCCCCUAGUUAUUCCAAGAUGUGCUUCUCAAAUUUGGAAGUAAAGGUGGGAGGCUUGCUGCCUGUGAUCACAAGAUCUGCCAUUUCAGCCUUUCUACCAGGAGCCGCCACACCACCUCCUCCUCUUCCAGGGUCCCAAGCAUGGCCCGUGUGUCCCCCUCCCCACCCCCGUUUCAGCUUUGCAGGCCAGCGUCCGUGCCAGUCGUGCACAGGGGAGCGGCAUUGGGCCUGGGCCGGCCAUGGCCAGCGUGCUUGUGACUCCGGCUUCGUGGCGUGCAGGGAGAAGGGGGCCCUGAGUGACAAAGUGAAGCAGGGACACCCAGUGCCUUCGUCUAGCCAGUGGUUGUACUUACCUGGAGGGCAGCCGCAGGCAGGCCCUGGCUCCGCCUUCUCUGUCCCCGGCUCUGUGGUCUCUGGGGCUCGGCAUCACUAGGGCAGCUCCACGGCAGGACCCUCCCAAGGGGGAAGCGCAUCAGCUACGGAUACGGAUGGUUGCUGCCAUUUAGAAGUUCUAUCCUUUUAUCUGUGAGCCUUAGUGUCCUCGUCUGUCAUGUGUGGGUACUGCCAGCCCCGGGGAACAGGUGUGAGCAGUAAGAGGGAGGUGUGUGAAUUCUGAGGGUUAGAAUUCGACCCUUGCUUAGCACCCACACCUUACCACUUGCCAGGUCAGGGCGCCAGGUUCAAGGUUCAAGUUUCAGGGUCAGUAAACUUUCUGCGCCAGUGGCAGAGACGCAGCAGAGAGUUGGGAGGGCCAGGAAAAUGGUCCUGCACGUGACCAUUUCAUCAAAGUGACAGCCUUCAUUUAACCAGAGUGGGUCCAUUGCUGUUUUAAGACAGAAGCUUUUAUUUGUACUCAUCCAAAUGGGGAGAAUGCAACAUGUCAGGGCAUUACAGACAGACCGCAGCAGCCGAGAGGGUCAGUGUAUGGCGCAGUCCGACAGUCAGUGCGAAGGAGCCACAGUGUGGGCGCUGGGGUGGCAGAGAGUCCCUUUGGAUGAAGGCCAGGCAUCUCUGGACGAGGCACUGGUGACAGUCCACACAUGCAGCUGCUGCUUCAACCACGCCGAAGGUUUACAGUUCAGAGUCCUACAUGUCGUCAUUGCCCCAGAGGGGAAGGACAGUCCGUGGUGGUCGCGUUUGCCAAUGGUUUUCAACAUAAUACACAAAGUUAUUGCCAAGGACUUUGCACUGCAAAUUAUACUAUUUACACUUGCGUAUUCAGGAAAAAACAGUAAAUAGAUAUUUUAAAUUGAUAUCUAAAAACUACCUUGGCCAUCACUGGACCAGAGUGAGAGUAAGCUAUAGCCAGGAGUCCAAUGUCAUGUGUGUAACUGUGCAGUGGGGAAAGGUUUUCUACCCACAACUACACUCGGCCUUCUCCGUGCCUCCUGAACUCCCCACCCUGGGGCUGAGGCUGAGCAGGGCCACCUUACUCCUUUAUGAGGGAAGCCCCUCCUUGAACAGCCCUGGGCUUCAGUUCUCAACUAGCUGCCUCCUCCCCAGACCAUGCUGCCCUGCCCACUCUGCUCGGAGUGGGUAACGAGUCCUGCAGGCCCCUCUCUGUGAGUGCUCCACGGCUCGCAGACCAGGGUGUGGGGGCUGUGCAGCGAACGGGCUGAGCUGGGCCCGUCAGCCCCACUGCUCUUAGAAGUGCCCUCACCCUAAUUAGGGCUACCUCAGGAGACUGUCUUCUUCUGUCCUCCUGAAGGUGGAGCUGGGCCCCUACCGGCCACUUAGGCCAGCAAACCGCUCCCUGGAGAAAGGCCUGAGCUCAGAAACACUCUGGGUAAGCAAGGUAAGCACUGCUGAGGGCUGAUACAGAUGAAAGCUGCCCAGUGAAGGUGCUCGCUCAUGCCUCACUAGCAGCUCCCCAGAAGACGAGAGACAAAGGCAGAGGACGCCCACCUCAAGCAAGCAUUCCCUUUGCUUCCGUAAGACACUGGGAAGGAAGUGCAUCUGAGGGUGGGAGACAGCACACAAGGCGGCCAGAGGCGCCUGGGAUUACUGGGAGGUGCUCAAAAUAAGGCCCCUGAGUCAGGGGCCUUGAGGUUGCCCGUAAUUCAUCUCCCCAGCUGAGCUAGACACAAGCCUUUCCUCUCCAAGAAAGGGAGCAAGAAGUGGCAGGCCCCACUGCUGAGAAACCACUGCAGUAAGUGAGCAAGGGGACAGGCAGCUCUAGGUGUUCCCUCCACGAAGGAGGGGUGCAGUGCGAACCCCACCCGACCGCCCAGGGCUGGUCUGAGCAUGAGAUGCUGUCCUGGUCAGGGAAAGGGAGGCACCUAAUGGCCGCACCUCUGACACAACGGGAGAGAAGAGAUAUUUGGGGAAUCGGCGAAAUUCCAGUCACAGCUCUUGUGGGUGUCCCCAUGAGCCCAGGGCUCAGUGCCGCAGAUGACGCACUCCGGGGCUGACACCGUGACACGUAGCAAGGAAGGAGCCCAUGUGGAGCAACGUUUUGCCACAGACACACCAAACCAAAACUCCUAAGCCCAAAGUGGGGAGCAGCGCUCAGCCCAAAGAGGGGGAAAGAGACUGGACACUUAGAAUGCAACUUAAUAAAUCACGUGGAGAAGGGA